rnacentral:rRNA from 1 species
GUGGGGAAUAUUGGACAAUGGGCGAAAGCCUGAUCCAGCCAUGCCGCGUGUGUGAAGAAGGCCUUCGGGUUGUAAAGCACUUUAAGCGAGGAGGAAGGUUCGUUACUUAAUACGUAACGGAAUUGACGUUACUCGCAGAAUAAGCACCGGCUAACUCUGUGCCAGCAGCCGCGGUAAUACAGAGGGUGCAAGCGUUAAUCGGAAUUACUGGGCGUAAAGCGCGCGUAGGCGGUUGCGUAAGUUGGAGGUGAAAUCCCCGGGCUCAACCUGGGCAUUGCCUUCAAAACUGCGCAGCUAGAGUAUUGGAGAGGAAGGUAGAAUUCCAGGUGUAGCGGUGAAAUGCGUAGAGAUCUGGAGGAAUACCGAUGGCGAAGGCAGCCUUCUGGCCAAAUACUGACGCUGAGGUGCGAAAGCAUGGGGAGCAAACAGGAUUAGAUACCCGAGUAGUCC